GACCUCUGCUGGUUCGGACCGCAGCCUUCACAACAAGUUACAACGUAUCCAUAGUUACCGCCGGUGUUUGUGCGAAGUAUGGUCACUAGAGGGUGACACGGGAGUGGAUUUCAAACUUCGCUUUAAACGCUCUGCUGAUGUCCUGAGGUCAUACUGAUAGGAGGAGCCUGAGUGACAGUAAUGCUGCAAAACCAGAAGACGGCAGUGUUGGAUGCACAGUUGUGGUGAUGCCUGUACUUUCUAUCCCUCAGAACAUACACUUACUUUGGUUUCCUCAUGUCACUUUUGAAGUGUUGCAUGUUCCCAACUAAUCAGAGGCCAUACUUCAAACUGUAUUGAUCCAAAUGAUACUGUUGUGCAAAAA